GUCGUCGCGAAUAUCGCCUCUAACGGGAGAUCUCGACCCGCAAGUUUCGAAGGGGUGACUCGAAGCUGCAUGAGUAGGUGUGGUAGUAGACGUUGACAUCUCUGCGUGAUAUUGGGGACGUGUGGACUAUGGGUGGAGCACGGUGUCCAGACGUCGCUUUGCCUCUGUGAAGGUUGUAUCGAUACAAAGAGAAAUGACGCAGUUCCGUUAGUUGAAAAGCUUAGAAGCUACUGCUUUGUGAGAGCAACGCUGCAACACCGCCCCAAGCAAAGGUUGUGCAUAGCAUGCCACAGCAGAAGAGACCAAUGGAAAACAAUUCUUCAGGGCUGGUUGUGCAAAAGACACUACAUAGCAGUGUGCUAAAGGAGGCUGGAGACCUUUUGGAAGCAUCAUUACUUUCGACGUUAACUAUUGCAGGUACAUAACCAUGACCAAUCACUGACAGUUUUUGUGUAUUGUAUAAGCACAGAUAUUCUGGAGAUCCUUUCUCAAAAAUUCUCUGUUGUGGACUAAUUCAUCACAACAAGUUUGUAUUCGUGAGAUUUUUGU